CGAAUAGUUGUAGGAAGUACUUUUCCUGUAUAUUUUAUAGCGAAUUGACCCAUUUCAACGAACAAUAGCACUGAGGUCUAGUACUUCUCGAACCUCAACACCAUCUAUGGGAAGAAAGACAAACACAUUCAGACGUCCUGUAGUUCACGUACUGCACGAUCAAUCCUACACCAACAGCUAUGAAGGCGAUGCAUACUCCUGAAACAAAGCUGAUCGACCUCCAAUUCAAACAGGAAGGCGGUCUUCAGCUGAUAGCUUGUGAUGAAACUUGGCACUCGUUUCAUAUCAUCAUGAUCAACACACGUUGGGCAAUACCUGGACGCUUGGAGAGAUUUCAGGAUCAUGUAGCCCUUUCUUACACAGUUGGAAACACGUUUCAGAAUGGACUGUUCUAGUAACGCAAACGAUUAUCUAUAAUACAACGUAAAGUCCUUGACGAAAACUCGGGAUGGUGUUUUGAAAACAACAGAACAGGUAUCCCCUUAUUCUUGCAGAAGAACUCGGUCAUUUUCCUGGAAACCUUCGGGUUUCCAGUCUCCUAGAUC